rnacentral:tRNA from 1 species
UACCUGGUGGCUCAGAUGGUAAAGUGUCUGCCUGCAAUGCAGAAGACUCAGGUUUGAUCCCUGCAUUGGGAA